CUUUCAAAUUCAAUUAACUGCAAGCAAAUGGCAAAGCCAAUCACCCAAAUUUGUAAAACGAAUUGCAAAGCGUGGGAUGCUCUUCCCGUUGUUGUUUUAGUUGAUGUUGUUUUUAUUAUUACUGUCGUUGUUGUUGUUGUUGUGGAUGCUGCUACACAAAUAUUUGCCAUCAACAUUUUUGUACGCUAAUUUUCUUGGUAAAUUUCGAGCUGACAUCACGCACGCAGCGCAUAAAGAUUGAGCACACACACACACACACGCACACAGAGGCAGGCACUGGGAAGAAGCUAAAGCUGAAAUUUCGUCACAUAUUUUUGCGUAAAUUGCCGGAAAAUCGCAAAUCAUGGGAGAUAAACAUCGAAGAAGUCAAGAAAUGAACAGAAGAGGCCAACAGGCAGAGGGUCGAACCGAGCGGAUGGAUGGAUGCUGAACCAAAUAUCGAACAAUGUUAAGCAAACACUUAAACACACACACACACACAGACACUGACACUCGCACAGCUAUGCCGAGAUGUGCUUCCGCUUGCGCAAGAAAUGAAGGCAAACCAAAAAAAAAUAGGGAAAAAAAAAUGCAGGACGCAAAAAAAAAAAAGAAAAAAUGGCAGAUCAAA